UGGGGAAUCUUGCACAAUGGGGGAAACCCUGAUGCAGCGACGCCGCGUGAACGAUGAAGCCCUUCGGGGUGUAAAGUUCUUUCGACAGGAACGAUAAUGACGGUACCUGGAGAAGAAGCUGCGGCUAACUACGUGCCAGCAGCCGCGGUAAUACGUAGGCAGCGAGCGUUGUUCGGAGUUACUGGGCGUAAAGAGUGCGUAGGCGGCGAGCCAAGUUUGGUGUGAAAUCUCCCGGCUUAACCGGGAGGGUGCGCCGAAAACUGGUUGGCUGGAGUAUGGGAGAGGAAAGCGAAAUUCCUGGUGUAGCGGUGAAAUGCGUAGAUAUCGGAUAGAACACCAAUGGCGAAGGCAGUCGCUUGGUCCAUUACUGACGCUAAAGCACGAAAGCGUGGGUAGCAAACA
rnacentral:rRNA from 1 species